UUAUAAAUGGGACAGCCGAACUCCAACCUCUCAAAUCGCAAACCCUCCCCCGUUCUGUUCUUGGAGCGCUUAUCGACAUUUCCUCGGCGGAGGCGUGAGAAACACCGGCGGGCCGGAGAUCGAAACCCUAGAAGAAGCGAGCGCCAUCGUUCUCGCCCCUAUAGCCGGCGAGUGAGUUUGAUUGUAACCCUGGAGAUGUUGUUCGUUGAUGUCGCAUUACGGAAGGUUCUUCAUCUUUUUUGUUCGUUCCUAUUUCUCUGACCUGGAAUUAGGGUUUUCUGUCCUGUUCUUGUUGACGUGAGCUCGCGAUCUCCCACGAGCGGUUGCCCUACGAGAGCUGAUUGCUCGGAUUCUCCGUCCGAUUCUUUCAUGAGCGCUGGAUUGCUUAAGGAUUUGCACUGUGGAGGAUUCAUGAUUUCCGUGGGUGGUUCAACUAACUCUUCUUAUAUAUUUGCUCUCAUCGUUCCUGUAUAGGCUGGAACGAGUUAGGAUUCCCGGCAUUUGUUAUUAAUUGAUGUUGUUUACUCGGAGUUUCUUAAUUUUCCUGGUAAUUUUUUUUCUUAAUCAUGCUUCACACCGUAACCAAAAUGUAUAGCGAUGGAGUAGGUUUUCACGGGUCUUAUCCUCCGCCAUGAACAGCGAUGGACAGACAAAUCUAUAUACAAAUCAUCCAUGACAGUGUAGUGAAAAAUUGUGAAAGCUUGAUGAUUUUAUUCUUUCA